rnacentral:rRNA from 1 species
AACGAACGCUGGCGGCAUGCCUAACACAUGCAAGUCGAACGAGACCUCCGGGUCUAGUGGCGCACGGGUGCGUAACGCGUGGGAACCUGCCCUUAGGUUCGGAAUAACUCCCCGAAAGGGGUGCUAAUACCGGAUAAUGUCCUCGGACCAAAGAUUUAUCGCCUUUGGAUGGGCCCGCGUUGGAUUAGCUAGUUGGUAGGGUAAAAGCCUACCAAGGCGACGAUCCAUAGCUGGUCUGAGAGGAUGAUCAGCCACACUGGGACUGAGACACGGCCCAGACUCCUACGGGAGGCAGCAGUGGGGAAUAUUGGACAAUGGGCGAAAGCCUGAUCCAGCAAUGCCGCGUGAGUGAUGAAGGCCUUAGGGUUGUAAAGCUCUUUUACCCGGGAUGAUAAUGACAGUACCGGGAGAAUAAGCUCCGGCUAACUCCGUG